rnacentral:tRNA from 1 species
GGGCCUGUAGCAUAAUGGACAGUGCAAUCGGCUUCGGACCGGUUGAUCGGGGUUCGAAUCCCUGCAGGCCCG